GUGGGGAAUAUUGGACAAUGGGCGCAAGCCUGAUCCAGCAAUGCCGCGUGCAGGAAGAAGGCCUUCGGGUUGUAAACUGCUUUUGUACGGAACGAAACGGUCCUGGUUAAUACCUGGGGCUAAUGACGGUACCGUAAGAAUAAGCACCGGCUAACUACGUGCCAGCAGCCGCGGUAAUACGUAGGGUGCGAGCGUUAAUCGGAAUUACUGGGCGUAAAGCGUGCGCAGGCGGUGCUGUAAGACAGGCGUGAAAUCCCCGGGCUCAACCUGGGAAUUGCGCUUGUGACUGCAGUGCUGGAGUACGGCAGAGGGGGAUGGAAUUCCGCGUGUAGCAGUGAAAUGCGUAGAUAUGCGGAGGAACACCGAUGGCGAAGGCAGUCCCCUGGGCCUGUACUGACGCUCAUGCACGAAAGCGUGGGGAGCAAACAGGAUUAGAAACCCUGGUAGUCC
rnacentral:rRNA from 1 species